CGGGCCUCCCCAGUGGGUCCUCCUUGCUGGCAGAGCCCCCGGGCCUUGCUGAGUGGUGGAGGGACAGCGCCUGGGGCCUCCCAGCAGAUGGUCUAGGGAGGAGGGCAGGGGGAAGCAGGGAGCAGAAGAGGGUGGGCAGCUCUGUGUGGGUGACGCUGCAGUGGGGCUGUGGUGAAGGAGAGUAAGGAAAUCUGCUGCCCUCCAUCACGUCUGAAAGAUGAUCUCAACUGUAGAUCACACAGCUAUGGGGAAUUGCACUCGACCUGGGCACCAACAAAAUCCAGGAACCAAGAAGGGAGAUCUUGUGACAGAUCUUCCCCACCUUUAAUAAAACAUGAAGCACCGGUAUCAGGGGCUCAUGCAAGAGCCUAGAGACCAACAAGCACCCUGAACGUCUAACCAGCACCAAGGGACUCAAGUCGGAGAACAAAAGACGAACAGGUUUCAACCAGGAGAGGCAGAGACUUUCAAAGUUGUCUGUGGAUAAAAAUUUGGAAAAACACAU
rnacentral:lncRNA from 1 species